CCUACGGGAGGCAGCAGCAGUGAAUAUUGGUCAAUGGAGGAAACUCUGACCCAGCAGCACCGCGUGCGUGGAUGAAGACGUCCUGGUGGUAAACCGCUUUCUGUAUCGAAGAAGAGAAUGUGACGGUACUUACAAAAUAAGCCCCGGCUAAUUAUGUGCCAGCAGCCGCGGUAAUACAUAAGGGGCAAGCGUUGUCCGGAAUUAUUGGGCAUAAAGAGUCCGCAGGUGGCUUGUUAAGUCGGUUGUGAAAACGUGAGGCUCAACUUCAGGCCUGCAUUGGAAACGGGCAAACUAGAGUUUGGUAGGGGCGGAGGGAAUUCCUGGUGUAGCGGUGGAAUGCGCAGAUAUCAGGAGGAACACCAAUGGCGAAGGCAGUUUUCUGGGCCAUAACUGACGCUGAGGAGCGAAAGCCAGGGGAGCGAACAGGAUUAGAUACCCUGGUAGUCCGCGCCGUAAACGGUGGACACUAGGUGUGGGAGCAUUCCACCGCUUCGGCGUCGCAGCCAACGCAUUAAGUGCUCCGCCUGGGGAGUACGCACGCAAGUUUAAAACUCAAAGGAAUUGACGG
rnacentral:rRNA from 1 species